GAUGAACGCUGGCGGCGUGCCUAAUACAUGCAAGUCGAGCGAACAGACGAGGAGCUUGCUCCUCUGACGUUAGCGGCGGACGGGUGAGUAACACGUAGAUAACCUACCUAUAAGACUGGGAUAACUUCGGGAAACCGGAGCUAAUACCGGAUAAUAUAUUGAACCGCAUGGUUCAAUAGUGAAAGACGGUUUUGCUGUCACUUAUAGAUGGACCCGCGCCGCAUUAGCUAGUUGGUAAGGUAACGGCUUACCAAGGCGACGAUGCGUAGCCGACCUGAGAGGGUGAUCGGCCACACUGGAACUGAGACACGGUCCAGACUCCUACGGGAGGCAGCAGUAGGGAAUCUUCCGCAAUGGGCGAAAGCCUGACGGAGCAACGCCGCGUGAGUGAUGAAGGUCUUCGGAUCGUAAAACUCUGUUAUUAGGGAAGAACAAAUGUGUAAGUAACUAUGCACGUCUUGACGGUACCUAAUCAGAAAGCCACGGCUAACUACGUG
rnacentral:rRNA from 1 species